CCUACGGGUGGCUGCAGUGAGGAAUAUUGGUCAAUGGCCGAGAGGCUGAACCAGCCAAGUCGCGUGAGGGAAGACGGCCCUACGGGUUGUAAACCUCUUUUGUCGGGGAGCAAAGAGAGUCACGUGUGACUCAUUCAGAGUACCCGAAGAAAAAGCAUCGGCUAACUCAGUGCCAGCAGCCGCGGUAAUACGGGGGAUGCGAGCGUUAUCCGGUUUUGUUGGGGUUAAAGGGUGCGCAGGCGGAGGUGCAAGUCAGCGGUCAAAUUGCGGGGCUCAACCCCGUACUGCCGUUGAUACUGCAUCCCUUGAGUGCGCGAGAGGGAGGCGGAAUGCGUGGUGUAGCGGUGAAAUGCAUAGAGAUCACGCAGAACUCCGAUUGCGAAGGCAGCAUACCGGCGCGCAACUGACGCUCAUGCACGAAAGCGUGGGUAUCGAACAGGAUUAGAUACCCGGGUAGUC
rnacentral:rRNA from 1 species